CCGCUGUCUUUGGAGCACACACCACCAAAUUGGAAUCACACUGAGAAGAGUAGCGUGGCCCCUGCGCCAGGGUGACAGUCUGUGAAGCAUCCCAGUGAGUC
ensembl:snRNA U6 U6 spliceosomal RNA